GAUGAACGCUGGCGGCGUGCCUAAUACAUGCAAGUCGAGCGAACAGACGAGGAGCUUGCUCCUUUGACGUUAGCGGCGGACGGGUGAGUAACACGUAGGUAACCUACCUAUAAGACUGGGAUAACUUCGGGAAACCGGAGCUAAUACCGGAUAAUAUUUCGAACCGCAUGGUUCGAUAGUGAAAGAUGGCUUUGCUAUCACUUAUAGAUGGACCUGCGCCGUAUUAGCUAGUUGGUAAGGUAACGGCUUACCAAGGCAACGAUACAUAGCCGACCUGAGAGGGUGAUCGGCCACACUGGAACUGAGACACGGUCCAGACUACUACGGGAGGCAGCAGUAGGGAAUCUUCCGCAAUGGGCGAAAGCCUGACGGAGCAACGCCGCGUGAGUGAUGAAGGUCUUCGGAUCGUAAAACUCUGUUAUUAGGGAAGAACAAACGUGUAAGUAACUGUGCACGUCUUGACGGUACCUAAUCAGAAAGCCACGGCUAACUACGUG
rnacentral:rRNA from 1 species